GUGGGGAAUAUUGGACAAUGGGCGAAAGCCUGAUCCAGCCAUGCCGCGUGUGUGAAGAAGGCCUUUUGGUUGUAAAGCACUUUAAGCGAGGAGGAGGCUACUUGGAUUAAUACUCUAGGAUAGUGGACGUUACUCGCAGAAUAAGCACCGGCUAACUCUGUGCCAGCAGCCGCGGUAAUACAGAGGGUGCGAGCGUUAAUCGGAUUUACUGGGCGUAAAGCGUGCGUAGGCGGCUUUUUAAGUCGGAUGUGAAAUCCCUGAGCUUAACUUAGGAAUUGCAUUCGAUACUGGGAAGCUAGAGUAUGGGAGAGGAUGGUAGAAUUCCAGGUGUAGCGGUGAAAUGCGUAGAGAUCUGGAGGAAUACCGAUGGCGAAGGCAGCCAUCUGGCCUAAUACUGACGCUGAGGUACGAAAGCAUGGGGAGCAAACAGGAUUAGAUACCCUUGUAGUCC
rnacentral:rRNA from 1 species